rnacentral:rRNA from 1 species
AGCUCCAAUAGCGUAUAUUAAAGUUGUUGCGGUUAAAAAGCUCGUAGUUGGAUUUCUGCCGAGGACGACCGGUCCGCCCUCUGGGCGUGCAUCUGGAUCGGCCUGGGCAUCCUCUUGGGGAACGUAGCUGCACUUGACUGUGUGGUGCGGUAUCCAGGACUUUUACUUUGAGGGAAUUAGAGUGUUUCAAGCAGGCAAUUGCCUUGAAUACAUUAGCGUGGAGUAAUAAGAUAGGACCUCGGUUCUAUUUUGUUGGUUUCUAGAGCUGAGGUAAUGAUUAAUAGGGAUAGUUGGGGGCAUUUGUAUUUAAUUGUCAGAGGUGAAGUUCUUGGAUUUGUUAAAGACGGACUACUGCGAAAGCAUUUGCCAAGGAUGUUUUCA